rnacentral:misc_RNA from 1 species
AAAGAAAAAAAAAAAAAAAAAAACGGUGGAGGUAUUAUUUUAGAAUCUUGAAACAAAGUAAAGAUUGAAGUAACUGAUGCUUAUGAAAAGGAAAUAGAUUUGAGUUUGGCCUAUCAAUCACUUCACUGGAGCAAGAUAUGACACAUGCUUAAAGAAAUUCUAUAUGAUUCAGCUAAUUAUGGUGUUAAUCUUCUCUAUUAGAAUUUCCAACUCCUAAAGAACAGAAAGUCCUGCCUUGAAAAAUGCACAGGGUCUUUAGUACUCGUUGAGGAAAGGAAUCCUCAACAAAGUGUAAGAGAUUUAAAGGCUAUUCAUGGUUCUUUCUAGUAAAUUUGAACUUCUACUUUGAGUGAAUAUUUGAUUAUUUGCACUUCUGGCUGCUGGUGGACAAAGUUGAGGUUGACAUGUAACAAAGACUAUUUGUACGUUUUGAGUUUUUAGAAAGAAAGAAGA